UAAUAAUAAUAAUAAUAAACCCUAGGGUUUCAAUAGGGUCCUUGGCACCGCUGGUGCCUUGGACAGUCGGUGCCCUGGCACCGCCUGUCCUUCGCACCCUCGGUGCUCGGACCCUAAUAAUAAACCCUAGGGUUUCAAUAGGGUCCUUGGCACCGCUGGUGCCUUGGACAGUCGGUGCCCUGGCACCGCCUGUCCUUCGCACCCUCGGUGCUCGGACCCUAAUUAAAGCUGCAAGCAGCGAUGGACGGGUCCUCGCAUCCACGCUGGUCGUGAAUCCACGCACGUCCACCAGGUGGCGCUGUGACUGAGAGUGUAUGUCGGCCUCUGAAUCGCAUCUGGACCAGAGUCCAAUCAUACAUUUAAAAUUUCAGCCAGACUGUAGCAUGUUCAGAGCAGUUAUAGAGCAUUUCCUGUCCAUCCACCAGGUGGCGCUGUAACUCAGAGUGUAUUUCACACAGUGGAUGUGAUGAGGGUUGGACUCUGAUCACUCAUGAAAAGUUUCAGGCUGAUUUGAUCAUGUAGAGGCCAGUUAUACAGCAUUUACUGUCCCUCCAACAGGUGGCGCUGCGACUGAGAGUGUCUGUUGGCCUGUAGAUGUGAUCAGGAUUGGAUUGUGAUCACACAUGGAAAGUUUGAGGCAGAUUGGAGCAUGCAGAGGAGAGUUAUACAGCAGUUGAUGUUUCAUGGCGAAGCAUCAAAACGCUGAUGGUCGCCAUGGCCACGCCAUUUGGCUUCUGGUUAAACUUUUGAUAACUUUUCAUCACCAAGUCCUGCUGUGUGGACUGACAAAAUUUCAGGUCUCCUGGAAUUAUCCCCGAGGAGGUAUUAACUCUCAAAAAUGAGAAAAAUCAUCAAAAAUCUCACAAUUAAUCCAAGAUGGCCGACUUCCUGUUGGGUUUAGGACAUGGCUCCAAGAGGCUUUUUUGUGCGUCCUGAUGUGCUCUAUAAGCCUCCCAAAUUUCAUGGAUGUAGGUGAAACGUGCUGGGGGGGCUGUUUGUUAAAAAUACUGUAGGGGGCGCUAUAGCAUGUGCAGUGCCGAGAUGCAUACAGUGUUGUUCCUUGGGUCAAUGGUGAUGUGUGUGGUAAUUUUUGUGAGCAUUGGAGUAUUCCUAACCUGUCAGAAAGGGCUUUGUUUUUCAUGGCGAUAUUUGGUUGCUACGGCAACAGCGUUACAUGAAAUGUCACACCCUUCACAGUGUGUGAUUGUCAAGAGGUGAAGACUCGACUGACCAAUUUCCAGCAUGAUAUCACCAAGUUUGGGGCCAUUGUACCUGAAAAUAUAAGGCCUUAAACUUACUAUUACCAACAGGUGGCGCUAUGACUUUUUCAGAAUUUAUGAGUGUGGAUGUGUUCAGACUGGACCUGGUAUCCAGCAUGUGAAGUCUGAGGCAGAUAGGAUGUUGUUCAGCUGAGAUAUGAAUCGUUAAAUUUUCAUGGCGAAACAUCGAAAUUGGUUUGGCCGCCACAGACACGCCCUUUGAUGACAAGUCACCAUUUUCACUGGGAUGCAUCAUCAAUGUGUUUAGGCUGUUGUCACUGCAUUUGAAGUGAAUAUGAUCAACCGGGUAACAAUAGGGCAUGAAAGUGUAAAAGAUGUCUAUUUCCUGAAACCACAAGGUGGCGCUAUGACUGUCAAUGAAUAUCCCUAUGUGGAUGACAUCAGGACAGGACUGUCAUCAUACAUGUAAAGUUUCAGGCAGAUUGGAGCAUGUUGAGAAGAAUUAGACAUCACUUCCUGUUUCAUGGCGAAGGAUCAGUUGUUUGAGGCUCCGCCAUGGCCACACCUUUUGGCUUCUGGUUGAGUUUUUGAUAACUUUUCAUCAGAAAGGUCUGGUGCAUGUACUGGCCAAAUUUCAGUUCUCUCAGACUUAUCCACUAGGAGCUAUAAAUUUUGACAAAUGUACAGCAAAUUCAAGAUGGCCGACUUCCUGUUGGGUUUAGGGUGUGGCUGUGAUUGACUUUUUGGUGUGUCCUGAUGUGGUGCAUAUGCCCACCAAAUAUUGUAGCUGUAAAUAAAACAUUGUGGAAGUUGGCCUAAUGACCACUGUUUCAAUUUUGCAGGUGGCGCUAUAGAGCCAUUUUUUCACACAUAUGCGCAACUCCCAUAAAAUAUCAAAUUUUUCGCCAGUCCUGAUGUGCACGCCAAAUUUCACGCGUUUUGGUUCAUGAUAAGGCCGCCAAAAAGGCAAGUCAUUUCCCGAGGAGCGAUUAAGUUUGAAAAAUUUACAGCAAAUUGAAGGUGGCCGACUUCCUGUUGGGUUUAGGGCGUGGCUGUAAUUGACUUUUUGGUGUGUCCAGAUGUUCUGCAUAUGCCCACCAAAUAUUGUAGCUGUACAUGAAACAUUGUGGCAGUUGGCCUAAUGACUACUUUUUCAAGUUUGCAGGUGGCGCUAUAGAGCCAUUUUGCCACGCACAUGCGCAACUCCCAUAAAAUAUCAAAUUUUUCGCCAGUCCUGAUGUGCAUGCCAAAUUUCACGCGUUUUGGAGUAUGAUA